rnacentral:rRNA from 1 species
CCUACGGGUGGCAGCAGUAGGGAAUCUUUCACAAUGGGCGAAAGCCUGAUGGAGCAACGCCGCGUGCAGGAUGAAGGCCUUCGGGUUGUAAACUGCUUUUAUAAGCGAGCAAUAUGAUGGUAACUUAUGAAUAAGGAUCGGCUAACUACGUGCCAGCAGCCGCGGUCAUACGUAGGAUCCGAGCAUUAUCCGGAGUGACUGGGUGUAAAGAGUUGCGUAGGUGGGAUAAUAAGUAGCUAGUGAAAUCUGGUGGCUCAACCAUUCAGACUAUUAGCUAAACUGUUAAGCUCGAGACCGUUAGGGGUAACUGGAAUUUCUAGUGUAGGAGUGAAAUCCGUAGAUAGUAGAAGGAACACCAAUAGCGUAGGCAGGUUGCUGGGACGGUUCUGACACUAAGGCACGAAAGCGUAGGGAGCAAACGGGAUUAGAUACCCGAGUAGUC